GAUGAACGCUGGCGGCGUGCCUAACACAUGCAAGUCGAGCGACCGGACAAGAAGAUCGUUCUCUUGCUGUUAGCGGGUGGCGGGCGGGUAAGGAAUACAUCACAUACUUCUAUUUCUUGGGUAAUUUCGUGAAACAGGUGACACUACUAGCUAAUAUUAUGAACGGGUUGGAUCAAAGGUUCUUGACGGUUUUCCCGAUUGUUUUAGCUGACGCCGGAUUACCUAGUUGGCUUGGUAAAGGCCCACCAAGGCGACGAUGCGUAGCAGGGCUGAGAGGAUGAUCAGCCACACUGGAACUGAGACACGGUCCAGACUCCUACGGGAGGCAGCAGUGGGGAAUAUUGGGCAAUGGGCGAAAGCCUGAUGCAGCAACGCCGCGUGGGUGAAGAAGGCCUUCGGGUCGUAAAGCCCUGUUGUUGGGAAAGAAAAGAAGUAGGUUAAACCCCGGACGUCCUGACGGUACCCAAAGAAUAAGCAACGGCUAACUUCGUG
rnacentral:rRNA from 1 species